rnacentral:lncRNA from 1 species
CCAAUUCUAUGGGGUUAGGGUGUCAGCCCUGUCCUACAUGUCUUCCUCUUCAUGACUAUAAUGUUGUCUUGGUUACUGGUGUCACUGAUCUUUAGUUAUUCACCCCUUCUUAGUGUUUGGACCCUUGAAAAGUACCUGUUCUUACUCCUGCAACCAAAUAGUAGCAUGUACAUGUGGAACUAGGUUAUAUGUACCUAUAUUACUACUUUGUUUGGUUGUUUUCUCCCAAAAUGAGUCUUAUGUUGACGGUUAUGAUAGUAGAAAACAUGGUAUAAAUACCGUCAACAAGACCCCCCACACUUGAGUCUUUGCUCAUCCUCGAGUAAAGGUUAAAAAUGAGUGAUCAAUGGUUUCUAACUUAAGAUAGUAGUGAGCAUAAAAUGCUAGUUCGAACAUAGUUCAUCCAAAUGGGUUUUUGUGUAAGUGUCUAGCAUAUAUCCUUCAGAGGUUGAGAAAAGGAACAACUCUCAGAACAAGAUCAAAUUCCAAUUUCAUAUUCUUGGUACUUAGAGUUUUUAUGACACUUUUUAAAAUAAGUCACAUAGUUCAAUCCUACUCCUCAUUUAGCGCUCUAGAUCACUCAAAGUUUUUUAGUAGUCCUCACCAAGGCAUGAAUGCCAACUUGUUUCAUCCUAUAAUUAUAGGCUUAUAUGGGGCUUGGUAGGGAUAAACAAGGUAGCAUACUCUACUUUGCAAAUAUUGUUAAGUCAAAAACAAGGAUCCAAAGAGAGGAGUGUCAUAGUCAUAGAUCAAGAUGUGCAAGUGUGUUAUAUGGUGGACUAGGUUUCUCCUUUAUUUACUACACUCUCUCUACUUGUAUAUUGAGACAUGGCUAGAUUUUCUUUUUCUUCGAGCUUUAUGUGCUCAAUUUUUUUUUCAUGGACUUGCACAUGUCCAUCUUUUCUUUUUCUUUUAUUUUGCCAAGCCCUUUUACGUCUCAUUUUCUAAACAAUAUUUAGAGAGGUGUUCUAACACUUAGAGUAUGGAGCAACCUAUUUAGUGGAUGCACAAUACAUGUGGUUGCGUACUUCCAGUGUAGAAGCAGCAUAUAUAUAUGUGGUGUGUACGUGAUCUUGAUCUUGUGACUAUGAUACAACUCUCACUAGGGUCAACAAGGUUUUGACAAAACUCAUUACAAAAGCAGGUUGCAUUUCAUAAAAUGGUUACUUGAAUAUCUAAGUGUAUGGCUUUUAGUGGGAAUUUCUUGCU